rnacentral:rRNA from 1 species
UACGAAGGGGGCUAGCGUUGCUCGGAAUCACUGGGCGUAAAGGUGCGUAGCGGGUCUUUAAGUCAGGGGUGAAAUCCUGGAGCUCAACUCCAGAACUGCCUUUGAUACUGAAGAUCUUGAGUUCGGGAGAGGUGAGUGGAACUGCGAGUGUAGAGGUGAAAUUCGUAGAUAUUCGCAAGAACACCAGUGGCGAAGGCGGCUCACUGGCCCGAUACUGACGCUGAGGCACGAAAGCGUGGGGGAGCAAACAGG